AGCAACUAUUCAAAUGAGAACUUUGAAGACUGAAGUGGAGAAGGGUUUCAUGAGAACAUCAAUUGGUCAUGAGUGACUCGGUCCUAAGGUCAGGGGUAGUCCCGCGAAGACGCAGUCCAGGCCGAAAGGGAAGAUGGUCAAAAUUCCAUCAGCUAGCGGUGGGUGCUGUGUGGCAA
rnacentral:rRNA from 14 species